AUUCCUGCUCAACAGUUCUCCUUGGAUGACUCAUGGGCAUCUCAGUUUACACUGUGGAAAACAUAACUUGAUGCCCAACUCUUUCUUAACCUGUUCCUACUCUGGUCUCCCCCAUCUAAGUAACUGGCAGCAGCAGUCAUCCAGUUGCUAAGGUCAAGAACUUUGGAAUCAUCCUUGGUUACUCCUUUCCCCUUUUCCUUCAUAUUGAAUCCAUUAGCAAUUCUUGUCAGCUCUACAUGCACAUUAUAUGCUAACUUCUACUACUGCCCACUGCUUCUGUCACUGUGAGCCACUAUUAUCUCUUACCUGGUACCAUUGCUUGCCUUCUUCCUUGCCUAUAAUUCAUUCUCCCUGGCAACCAGUAACAUGUACAUCCUUUAAAAUAUGGAAAUCAGGAUUCUGCAAGCUUCCCAAGCACAUAUGAGCAGCCGACUCCCUUGCUGUCUGAAACGUGGACCUCUCUCCAUUUCCAAAAUGUUGCUUUCUAACAAGCUGACACUGGACAAGCUGGACGUGAAAGGGAAGUGGGUCAUUAUGAGAGUCGACUUCAAUUUCCUAUGUAGAACAACCAGAUAACAAACAACCAGAGGAUUAAGGCUGCUGUCUUAAGCAUCAAAUUCUGCUUGGACAAUGGAGCCAAGUCAGUAGUCCUUACGAGCCACCUAGGCCGGCCUGAUGGUGUCCCUGUGCCUGACAAGUACUCCUUAGAGCCAGUUGCUGUAGAACUCAAAUCUCUGCUGGGCAAGGAUGUUCUGUUGUUGAAGGACUGUGUAGGCCCAGAAGUGGAGAAAGCCUGUGCAAACCCAGCUGCUGGGUCUGUCAUCCUGCUGGAGAACCUCCACUUUCAUGUGGAAGAAGGGAAGGGAAAACUCUGGGAACAAGGUUAAAGUGAGUCAGCCAAAAUAGAAGCUUUCCGAGCUUCACUUUCCAAGCUAGGGGAUGUGUAUGUCAAUGAUGCUUUUAGCACUGCUCACAGAGCCCACAGCUCUGUGGUAGGAGUCAAUCUGCCUCAGAAGGCUGGUGGUUUUUUUAAUAAAGAAAAAACUACUUUGCCAAGGUCUUGAAGAGCCCAUAGUGACCCUUCCUGGCCAUCCUGGGUGGAGCUAAUGUUGCAGACAGGAUCCACUUGAUCAGUAAUAUGCUGGACAAAGUCAAUGAGAUGAUUAUUGGUGGUGGAAUGGCUUUUGCCUUCCUUAAGGUGCUCAACAACAUGGAGAUUGGCACUUCUCUGUUUGAUGAAGAGGGAGCCAAGAUUGUCAAAGACCUAAUGUCCCAAGCUGAGAAGAAUGGUGUGAAGAUUACCUUGCCUGUUGACUUUGUCACUGCUGACAAGUUUGAUGAGAAUGCCAAGACUGGCCAAGCCACUGUGGCUUCUGGCAUACCUGCUGGCUGGAUGGGCUUGGAUUGUGGUCCUGAAAGCAGCAAGAAGUAUGCUGAGACUGUUACUCGGGCUAAGCAGACUGGGGGGGGGAGGGGUGGGGUAUUUGAAUGGGAAGCUUUUGCCCGGGGAACCAAAGCCCUCAUGGAUGAGGUGGUGAAAGCCACUUCUAGGGGCUGCAUUAGCAUCAUAGGUGGUGGAGACACUGCCACUUGCUGUGCCAAAUGGAACACAAAGGAUAAAAUCAGGCAUGUGAGCACUAGGGGUGGUGUCAGUUUAGAGCUCCUGGAAGGUAAAGUCCUUCCUGGGGUGGAUGCUCUCGGCAAUAUUUAGUACUUUCCUGCCUUUUAGUUCCUGUGCACAGCCCCUAUGUCAACUUAGCAUUUUCUGCAUCUCCACUUGGCAUUAGCUAAAACCUUCCGUGUCAAGGUUCAGCUGGUGGCCAAGAGAUGCAGUGCCCAGGAACCCUUAAACAGUUGCACAGCAUCUCAGCUCAUCUUUACUGCACCCUGGAUUUGCCUACAUUCUUCAAGAUCCCAUUUGAAUUUCUUAGUGACUAAACAUUGUGCGUUCUAGAGUACAUAUAUUUAUAUUUUGCCUGUUAAAAAAAGUGAGCUGUGUUAGCUUAGUUCUCUUUUGAUGUAGGUUAUUAUGAUUAGCUUUGUCACUGUUUCACUACUCAGCAUGGAAACAAGAUGAAAUUCCAUUUGUAGGUAGGGAGACAAAAUUGAUGAUCCAUUAAAUAAACAAUAAAAGUGUCCACUGAAACCAUGAAAAAAA